AACACAUGCAAGUCGAACGAGAUCUUCGGAUCUAGUGGCGCACGGGUGCGUAACGCGUGGGAAUCUGCCCUUGGGUUCGGAAUAACAGUUAGAAAUGACUGCUAAUACCGGAUGAAGUCUACGGACCAAAGAUUUAUCGCCCAGGGAUGAGCCCGCGUAGGAUUAGCUAGUUGGUGGGGUAAAGGCCUACCAAGGCGACGAUCCUUAGCUGGUCUGAGAGGAUGAUCAGCCACACUGGGACUGAGACACGGCCCAGACUCCUACGGGAGGCAGCAGUGGGGAAUAUUGGACAAUGGGGGCAACCCUGAUCCAGCAAUGCC
rnacentral:rRNA from 1 species